GGCUGCGGUAAUUUGACCGUGCAAAGGUAGCAUAAUCAAUAGUCUUUUAAUUGAGGGCUUGAAUGAAAGGUUUGACGGAAGAGAAGCUGUCUUAUGUAUUAAUAUUGAAUUUAACUUUUGUGUGAAAAGGCAUUAAUGGUUUAGAGGGACGAUAAGACCCUAUAAAACUUUACAUGUUAAUAUUGUUUAGUAAAAGUUUUAAUUAAUUAUUAAAUGGUUAGUUGUGUUUUGCUGGGGCGGCAGAAAUAUAAUCUUAACUGUUUUAAGUUUGAAAUAUUUAUUAAUAGAUUAUGGUCCUUUAUUUAAGAGGUAAGAGUAAGUUACUUUAGGGAUAACAGCAUAAUUUCUUUUGAGAGUUCUUAUCGAAGAUGAUAGUUGUGACCUCGAUGUUGAAUUAAAUUUUCCUUUAGGUGUAGGAGUUU
rnacentral:rRNA from 1 species